UAGGGAAUCUUCCGCAAUGGACGCAAGUCUGACGGAGCAACGCCGCGUGAGUGAAGAAGGAUUUCGGUUCGUAAAACUCUGUUGUUAGAGAAGAACAGCGCAUAGAGUAACUGUUAUGCGUGUGACGGUAUCUAACCAGAAAGCCACGGCUAACUACGUGCCAGCAGCCGCGGUAAUACGUAGGUGGCAAGCGUUAUCCGGAAUUAUUGGGCGUAAAGCGCGCGUAGGCGGUUUUUUAAGUCUGAUGUGAAAGCCCACGGCUCAACCGUGGAGGGUCAUUAGAAACUGGAAAACUUGAGUGCAGAAGAGGAAAGUGGAAUUCCAUGUGUAGCGGUGAAAUGCGCAGAGAUAUGGAGGAACACCAGUGGCGAAGGCGACUUUCUGGUCUGUAACUAACGAUGAUGUGCGAAAGCGUGGGGAUCAAACAGG
rnacentral:rRNA from 1 species